rfam:Nicotiana attenuata strain TT chromosome 10, whole genome shotgun sequence.
UAGACAGAUUAUUGUAUUCAACUGUAUUCACGGCGCAAUUCAUGGUCUAUUCAGUUGUUUUUAAACGGAAAGUGAAUCAAUUAACAUAAUAGACUCCU